UUUGUGCUGGAAGGGACCUCAGAUCCAAUCCCAUCCCAAUCCCAACACCUCCCACUGUCCCAGGGUGCUCCAAACCCCAUCCAGCCUUUCCUUGGACUCUCCCAGGGUAGCCCAGGUGGGAAUUGUUGGGAUCCAGGGCAGCCCAGGUGGGAAUUGUUGGGAUCCAGGGCAGCCCAGGUGGGAAUUGUUGGGAUCCAGGGCAGCCCAGGUGGGAAUUGUUGGGAUCCAGGGCAGCCCAGGUGGGAAUUGUUGGGAUCCAGGGCAGCCCAGGUGGGAAUUGUUGGGAUCCAGGGCAGCCCAGGUGGGAA